GACGUAGGUGGCGAACGUUAUCCGGAAUUAUUGGGCGUAAAGGGUGCGUAGGCGGCAUGAUAAGUUAUUGGCGGGAAAUCGAGGCUCAACCUCGUGGAAACUAAUAAUACUGUUUUGCUUGAGUACAGGAGAGGUUAACGGAACUCCAUGUGGAGCGGUAAAAUGUGUAGAUAUAUGGAAGAACGUCAAUAACGGCGAAGGCAGUUAACUAUUCUGUUACUGACGUUGAGGCACGAAAGCGUGGGGAGCAAAACGG
rnacentral:rRNA from 1 species